GCCGAUGUAGUGUAGUCCGGUCAAGCAUAUCAGGUUUUCAUCCUGGAGACCCGGGUUCAAAUCCCGGCAUCGGCA
rnacentral:tRNA from 1 species